GCAUUCCGAUUGCUUGUCGACACUUGCAAUCGGCCGCCCGCGGCACCCGGCACCCGGUUUGGCCCGAUCUCUCGCGCGACCACCCGAACGGCCUCCAAUUCACGAUCCGAAAAUUAAAGGUCUUCGGUUAUGUGCCACGAUACUUCAAAUCUGUUUUCAUGGGUUUACGAUGUCGCCUCGGCCUUCCAGGCGGAAACGAAGCCUAAACGUCCGUUUCUUUAAUAACUUCGCAACGGCUCGACGAAUCACCGAACCAUCUUCGCCCACGCGUUCGUUUACCUAGCAAUUAGGUUUACAGAGGGUCAAAUGAGAUCAAACCCUCAUAUUUACCAAAUUAGCAUUUUUGAGCCCUAGAUUACAACUAGGUAAAAAUCCACCAUUAGAGCCUUGAUUUCAAGCAUCAAACCUCUAAUUAGCAUGCUAGAAUACCUCUAAAUCCAUUCUUAGAGCUUAAAAACCAAACUAGAGAGAAAUGCCAUUAAAGGGUUUGAAGCUUACCUUCAAAGCUUGCUCUAAUGGAGAGGAAGAAGAAAAAGAAGAUGAAGAUCAACUUCCAAGCUUACUUCUCCACCAAAACCUUCAAUUUUGGGAGAGAUCUAUCGAGAGAAAAGGAGUUUUCUCUCUUUCCCUUUCUUUGCGUGUGUGUGUGUGUGUGUGUGUCGUGUGCGUGUGUGGUGUGCGGCCGAAGGAGAAGAAGAAGCAUCAGCUUCUUUAUAAUACCCCUCAAACACUAUUCACUCCAGGCAGCUUGAAAUCUGAUAACUUUCGCCGGAGCUCCCUGAAUGUCCGUUUGAGCUCAAACUUGACAGUUAUGUUCGAUUUUACGUACUGAGCAAGAAUAUAUUUUAAGUUUCCAGUUUCGACCCCAUUUGGUCAUCGAAAACUGUACCGAACUGUAAUCUUUAUCAGAUAGAUGUUAGAUUUUAUUUCUCACUCUACGGGUGUCAGAAAAAUAUGAAACUUUAAAUCUAGCCUCAUAAAAAUAUUUCUGACUUAUCCUCCAAUUUUCAUAAUUUUCUGAGACUGUGCAUUUUCUGCUAACUUAUCUGUCCCGUUUCCAACAGAAAAUUCUAGAUCUUCUGUUUUCAUUCCGAUUUCAGCACAAGUCAUUUCUGACUUAUGUAUUACUUCUCUAAAUCCAAUAAGAAUAGCUUCUUACACUAUUUUUAUUUAUUUUUAUUUUUAUACCAAAAUCUGGUAUGUUACAAAAGUGACGGUCAAAAAUAAAUACCCGUUGCCGAGAAUAGAUGACCUGUUUGAUCAGUUGCAAGGGUC
rnacentral:lncRNA from 1 species